GACGAACGCUGGCGGCGUGCUUAACACAUGCAAGUCGAACGGAAAGGCCCUGCUUUUGUGGGGUGCUCGAGUGGCGAACGGGUGAGUAACACGUGAGUAACCUGCCCUUGACUUUGGGAUAACUUCAGGAAACUGGGGCUAAUACCGGAUAGGAGCUCCUGCUGCAUGGUGGGGGUUGGAAAGUUUCGGCGGUUGGGGAUGGACUCGCGGCUUAUCAGCUUGUUGGUGGGGUAGUGGCUUACCAAGGCUUUGACGGGUAGCCGGCCUGAGAGGGUGACCAGCCACAUUGGGACUGAGAUACGGACCAGACUCCUACGGGAGGCAGCAGUGGGGAAUAUUGCACAAUGGGCGGAAGCCUGAUGCAGCAACGCCGCGUGCGGGAUGACGGCCUUCGGGUUGUAAACAGCUUUCGCCUGUGACGAAGCGUGAGUGACGGUAAUGGGUAAAGAAGCACCGGCUAACUACGUG
rnacentral:rRNA from 1 species